AGUAACACGGUGGGUGAUCUGCCUGCACUUCGGGAUAAGCUUGGGAAACUGGGUCUAAUACCGGAUAGGAACCAUCUUUAGUGUGGUGGUUGGAAAGUUUUUUCGGUGUAGGAUGAGCUCGCGGCCUAUCAGCUUGUUGGUGGGGUAAUGGCCUACCAAGGCGGCGACGGGUAGCCGGCCUGAGAGGGUGUACGGCCACAUUGGGACUGAGAUACGGCCCAG
rnacentral:rRNA from 1 species